rnacentral:lncRNA from 1 species
GGGAGUACAAACAAGGAAGUGUGGCGCGAAUGAUCCUCUGGUCUCCACUAUUUUGCCUUCCUAAUAAAAUUGAAUCACCAAAGGGAUGUCUGUUGACAUUUUUUCCUGAUCUUAUGAGUAUUUUUAUGUCAACUUAUAUUCCUCGACAAUUUGUCGUAAUUACUAUUGUUAACUCAACAAACGUUAUAUUUAGUAAUAACACCAGUAAUAAAACAAAUAUGAAUUACAAAUUAAUAAUGAAAGAUAAAGUUAUCAAACAAAUAGUAUUAAUCAAAGUAUGAUUAAUGGUUUUUCUUUAGUAUUAAUCAAAUAAUUAUUACUAAUUGUUUUUAAAUAGUGGUUAUUAUUAACUUGUAGCCGUUAAAUACUACUUAUAAUUUACAAUUAUUUAUUAGUCACUAAUUAUAGUUACUAUUAAACUGCUAACUACUACUGUAACUUAUUUCUUUGUACUAUUAGUAAUAGUUACUAGUACUAUUACUUACCAAUUACUAGUAUCAAUAUUACUUACAAAUUACUACCUUAGUUUACAUUUUACUAUUGCUAUUAGUAUUUAGUUUUACUAAAAUUUUACUCUGGCAUUGUACUAGUACCAGUGCUAUUAAUUUAACUAUUACUAUC